rnacentral:rRNA from 1 species
UACGGAGGGAGCUAGCGUUGUUCGGAAUUACUGGGCGUAAAGGGCGCGUAGGCGGCCGCCUAAGUCAGACGUGAAAUCCCUCGGCUCAACCGGGGAACUGCGUCUGAUACUGGGCGGCUUGAAUUCGGGAGAGGGAUGCGGAAUUCCAGGUGUAGCGGUGAAAUGCGUAGAUAUCUGGAGGAACACCGGUGGCGAAGGCGGCAUCCUGGACCGAGAUUGACGCUGAGGCGCGAAAGCCAGGGGAGCAAACGGG